ensembl:lncRNA
CUUUCUUUAUGGACGUCCGACGUGUCCUUUCGGCAAACAAAUAAACAAACAAAUCUAAGAAAAAGUUAAACCCAGCAACAAUAAAGUGACAAAAGUGGGCUACAAUACAGUAAUACAAUUAUAUUGAAUCAGAAUCAGAAAGAGCUUUAUUGCCAAGUGUUUACACACACAAGGAAUGGUCUUGGUGCCAGGAGCUUCCAGCACAGAAAGUACAAACAUAGUGCAGACAUAAGGUAAUAAAAACAACAACAAUAAUAAAGAGAAUAGACAAUAAAUAAUAAGUAACAAUAUAGUAAUAAAAUACAGAGAAAAAGAAAAUGUCAAUAGACAAACAGUAUACAGUUGUAGACAACACUAUACUGCUAAGUGACUUUAUUAUACAGUGACACAGCAGUGAAAACAGGCUGACUCAGAAAGAGAUGCACACAGGACAUAGGGUGAUGCAUGAAGGAGCAAUGAAUCAUUCCUACCCACUGAUUCUCAAGUAGGGCAAGACGAUUGGCUCCCAAGGCGGUUGGCAACAACUGGACUGUGAAUGGACAGGAGUAUGCAGAGGGAAGCGACGGUUCAGGAAAUGAAUUAGGAGAGAUGGAAGUAGGUGGCGGGAGUUAUGAAAAAUGGGAUACAGUUAGAAAUAAUAAACGGAAAAAGAAACAACAGAGUAAAUCGGAUGGAAGUGACUCUGACAGGGGAUAAACUGUAGAAGAAACGAAGAGAGAGGAAUAUAAAGUGUUUGCAAUACUUUAGAUUUGUUUGAAGGUAUGAAUCCAUUACAGUGGACAAAAACGCUGAAUAAGGAAAUUGGUGAAAUAAAGAGUGCUAAAUUUCUAAGAAAUGGAUCAUUGUUGAUUAUUUGUAAGGAUGCAAACCAGCAAGGGAAAGUAAUCAGAAUGAACAAGAUAAAUGGAAAGAGAGUGGAAUGUUCUAUGACUAAUGGAAAGAAAUUCGUAAAAGGUGUUGUCACAGGAAUCCCGGUAAACAUAUAGGUAGAAGAUGUGAAAGAAAAUAUAACAAAUGCAAAUGUAAGUGAAGUCAAAAGUUAAAAACAAAAAGGAAUGGAAGUGUAAGUGAUAGCACCUCGGUUGUGAUCACUUUUGAUGAGGAUGCUCUCCCUGGAAAAAUAUACACAUCUCAAUAAAUUAGAAUGUUGUGGAAAAGUUCAUUUAUUUCAGUAAUUCAACUCAAAUUGUGAAACUUGUGUAUUAAAUAAAUUCAAUGCACACAGACUGAAGUAGUUUAAGUCUUUGGUUCUUUUAAUUGUG